rnacentral:rRNA from 1 species
AGAGUUUGAUCCUGGCUCAGGAUGAACGCUAGCGACAGGCUUAACACAUGCAAGUCGAGGGGCAGCAUGAUAAGUAGCAAUACUUAUUGAUGGCGACCGGCGCACGGGUGAGUAACGCGUAUGCAACUUACCUAUCAGAGGGGGAUAACCCGGCGAAAGUCGGACUAAUACCGCAUGAAGCAGGGGCCCCGCAUGGGGAUAUUUGCUAAAGAUUCAUCGCUGAUAGAUAGGCAUGCGUUCCAUUAGGCAGUUGGCGGGGUAACGGCCCACCAAACCGACGAUGGAUAGGGGUUCUGAGAGGAAGGUCCCCCACAUUGGUACUGAGACACGGACCAAACUCCUACGGGAGGCAGCAGUGAGGAAUAUUGGUCAAUGGCCGAGAGGCUGAACCAGCCAAGUCGCGUGAAGGAUGAAGGAUCUAUGGUUUGUAAACUUCUUUUAUAGGGGAAUAAAGUGUGGGACGUGUCCCAUUUUGUAUGUACCCUAUGAAUAAGCAUCGGCUAACUCCGUGCCAGCAGCCGCGGUAAUACGGAGGAUGCGAGCGUUAUCCGGAUUUAUUGGGUUUAAAGGGUGCGUAGGUGGUAAUUUAAGUCAGCGGUGAAAGUUUGUGGCUCAACCAUAAAAUUGCCGUUGAAACUGGGUUACUUGAGUGUGUUUGAGGUAGGCGGAAUGCGUGGUGUAGCGGUGAAAUGCAUAGAUAUCACGCAGAACUCCAAUUGCGAAGGCAGCUUACUAAACCAUAACUGACACUGAAGCACGAAAGCGUGGGUAUCAAACAGGAUUAGAUACCCUGGUAGUCCACGCAGUAAACGAUGAUUACUAGGAGUUUGCGAUACACAGUAAGCUCUACAGCGAAAGCGUUAAGUAAUCCACCUGGGGAGUACGCCGGCAACGGUGAAACUCAAAGGAAUUGACGGGGGCCCGCACAAGCGGAGGAACAUGUGGUUUAA